AUCUAUGGCGGGCGGUACGUGGGGGCCUCGUGCCCGCCGGAGCUUUGGCAACGUUAGUCGCCGGUAUUGCAACCACGCACCGUCCGCCACCCUU
rfam:Stenotrophomonas maltophilia SKK35, WGS project CALN01000000 data, contig: 812